rnacentral:rRNA from 1 species
ACUCAAAUGAAUUGACGGGGGCCCGCACAAGCGGUGGAGUAUGUGGUUUAAUUCGACGCAACGCGAAGAACCUUACCAGCCUUUGACAUGUCUACUAUGAAUCUUCGAAAGUUGAUUCUUCACUUCGGGUGGGUAGAACACAGGUGCUGCAUGGCUGUCGUCAGCUCGUGUCGUGAGAUGUUGGGUUAAGUCCCGCAACGAGCGCAACCCUCAUCUUCAGUUGCCACCGGGUCAGGCCGGGCACUCUGAAGAAACCGCCGGUGACAAGCCGGAGGAAGGCGGGGAUGACGUCAAGUCCUCAUGGCCCUUACAGGCUGGGCUACACACGUACUACAAUGGUGGUGACAGUGGGUUGCGAAGGCGCGAGCCGGAGCCAAUCCCCAAAAACCAUCUCAGUUCAGAUUGCACCCUGCAACUCGGGUGCAUGAAGUUGGAAUCGCUAGUAAUCGCAGAUCAGCACGCUGCGGUGAAUACGUUCCCGGGCCUUGUACACACCGCCCGU